CCAGGUAGCGCUUGUUUAACGUCACGAGCCUGACCCAAACCUUUCUAGCACUUGUCAGUAAGUGCAUACCUUUCCAACAUCCAUCAGUAGGUGUACCUUCCUGGUAUCCUUCAGUAGAUACCUAAAUCUUCUAGCAUCCCUCAGUAGAUGUUAUCCCAGUAGCAUUCAUCAGUAAACACUGUUAGUGACAUCCAUCAGUAAAUGUCUAACCAUAUAGCAUCCAUCAGUAGAUGCUAAUCAUUACUGCCAUCAGAAGCAACGCAUAACCCAAAAAAUAAAUAAAAUAAAAUAAAAUAAAAUAAAACCAAAUCAAAUAAAAUAAAAUAAAAUAAAAAAAAUCAAAUAAAAGAAAAUAAAAUAAAAAUAAAAUCAAAUAAAAUCAAAUAAAAUAAAAUAAAAUAAAAUAAAAUCAAAACGAAGUUGAAGAUAAAAAAUUCAGAAACUGGAUUGCCUCCCAGCAAGCCUCUUUUAACGUCAUUAGCUUGACCCGGUAAAACCCAAACACCCAUCAGUAGGUGUUGAAAUUUUAUGUUGGUGUUCCUCCUUCCUUCAUGACACCAACAACAUCUCGGAAAUUUCCUUUGUCACCAACUGUAAGAGCUUUGUUUGCUUUGAUAGUCUUGACAACCCAUAACCUAAUUUUGAAUUUCAUUGAUGUGCCAGGUUAGAGUUUGUCACUUUUCACAUCAGGGUGUUGGUGAACCAAUUCUCCUUCCUUAUCUGCCUCCUGAUCAUCUUGUGCUCCUA
rnacentral:lncRNA from 1 species